rnacentral:rRNA from 1 species
UACGUAGGGCGCAAGCGUUGUCCGGAAUUAUUGGGCGUAAAGAGCUCGUAGGCGGCUUGUCGCGUCGGUUGUGAAAGCCCGGGGCUUAACCCCGGGUCUGCAGUCGAUACGGGGCAGGCUAGAGUUCGGUAGGGGAGAUCGGAAUUCCUGGUGUAGCGGUGGAAAUGACGGCAGAUAUCAGGAGGAACACCGGUGGCGAAGGCGGAUCUCUGGGCCGAUACUGACGCUGAGGAGCGAAAGCGUGGGGAGCGAACAGG